AGCGGGGUGGGGGGGUCCCUCAGCACAGAUUGUGAGAGGGUGCAGGCCAGGCUGAGGGACCCCGCUGGUGCAUG
rnacentral:pre_miRNA from 1 species